rnacentral:rRNA from 1 species
UGAGGAAUAUUGGGCAAUGCCCGCAAGGGUGACCCAGCAACGCCGCGUGGAGGAUGAAUGUCGUAAGAUUGUAAACUCCUGUUAGAGGGGAAGAAUAGUACCGGUUGGACCGGUAUAUGACUGUACCCUCAGAGAAAGCCCCGGCUAACUACGUGCCAGCAGCCGCGGUAAUACGUAGGGGGCAAGCGUUGUCCGGAUUUACUGGGUGUAAAGGGCGCGCAGGCGGGAUAAAAAGUCAGUGGUGAAAUCCUACAGCUUAACUGUAGAAAUGCCUUUGAUACUUUUAUUCUUGAGUUCGGGAGAGAGAGACGGAAUUCCAGGUGUAGUGGUGAAAUACGUAGAUAUCUGGAAGAACACCAGUUGCGAAGGCGGUCUCUUGGUCCGACACUGACGCUGAGGCGCGAAAGCGUGGGGAGCAAACA